AUACAGGUUUGCGCAUUCAUCGUUCAAUCGUUCUAUUAUGAUUCAUUUACCCAUUUACGUUAUCAACAUCUGGUCAUCAAAAUAAAAAAUUGUCUAUAGUCUAGUUCUUUUGCUGAUAUGGUAAAAUUUGCCUUCUGAUCACUUAAUUAUUACUUUUCUCUGUCCUUAUUUCGGGAAUAAAUAGUCACUAGAUUCUUUUGAAUCAUCUUACAGUUCUUAAUCGUUUCUGUAUUACUUUGCUUUUGUGUGAUUAACCGUCGAUUAUUUAUUUUGUCUUACAAAAUGAAAGCUGAAACAAAAAGAUUCAAUAUCGUUUUACCCAAAUUGCAAGUCGAAAGCGAAAGCAACGGAAGAUGUGUAAUCAAAGUGAACGACGAGUAUCUAUUUGUGAAUAAUUGGGUCAGCAAAAGAAACACAGCCGACAAGGUACUGAAAGAAAUACAAGUACAGAAGCUAGAUAACAUGAGGAAUACUAGAUAUUAACGAUGUUAGGCAAACUUUACAAACUACAUUUGUGUUUGAGAUUUCCUAACAUGUCUUUGUCGUUUUUAAUUUAUUAUAAAUUUACUCUUAAGCUUAAGACAUUUUUUACUGAUCUGGAACUGUGUUCCAUAUUGUGAUUAAAAUUGUAUUACUGAUAAAUUAACCCAGUUUUGAGCACAAAGGCGAACUGAGUAAUCAGUGUAUCUCGCCAAGGCAAUAAUGUCAGGCAGUAUGGGCCACCAAUUGAAACAUCAUAAGAUGAUAAGUUGGCACAAAUAUUAGAAUACUAAUAUGAAUUAUGAAAUUUGCAGGCAGAAAAUAAAUUGCAUGUACCUCAAAGUACAUUUAUUUACAUUAUUACUGGUUGAUUUUUGUAAUUAUUCGUGGAAUUUUGUUCGAAUCAUUUUAUUAUUAUAACUUAGAAAUUAACUCGCUGCAAUUAAUUGUUAGAUAUUUAUUUUUUUAAUAAUGAAAAAUUUUAAUUUAUUGACGUUAUUUAAGUUGUGAAAAUCGAUUGAAUAAAAAUUUACUCGAUGCU